GUGGGUAGUUUGACUGGGGCGGUCUCCUCCUAAAGAGUAACGGAGGAGCACGAAGGUUGGCUAAUCCUGGUCGGACAUCAGGAGGUUAGUGCAAUGGCAUAAGCCAGCUUGACUGCGAGCGUGACGGCGCGAGCAGGUGCGAAAGCAGGUCAUAGUGAUCCGGUGGUUCUGAAUGGAAGGGCCAUCGCUCAACGGAUAAAAGGUACUCCGGGGAUAACAGGCUGAUACCGCCCAAGAGUUCAUAUCGACGGCGGUGUUUGGCACCUCGAUGUCGGCUCAUCACAUCCUGGGGCUGAAGUAGGUCCCAAGGGUAUGGCUGUUCGCCAUUUAAAGUGGUACGCGAGCUGGGUUUAGAACGUCGUGAGACAGUUCGGUCCCUAUCUGCCGUGGGCGCUGGAGAACUGAG
rnacentral:rRNA from 2 species